GACAGAGGGUGCAAGCGUUAUUCGGAAUUAUUGGGCGUAAAGAGCUCGUAGGCGGUUUGUCGCGUCUGCUGUGAAAACCCGAGGCUCAACCUCGGGCCUGCGGUGGGUACGGGCAGACUAGAGUGAUGUAGGGGAGACUGGAAUUCCUGGUGUAGCGGUGAAAUGCGCAGAUAUACGGAGGAACACCAGAGGCGAAGGCGGAUCGCUGGGCCAACACUGACGCUGAGACGCGAAAGCUAGGGUAGCAAACGGG
rnacentral:rRNA from 1 species